rnacentral:tRNA from 1 species
GCCGACGUGGUGAAAUUGGUAGACACGCCAUCUUGAGGGGGUGGUGGAGAGAUCCUUAUGAGUUCGACUCUCAUCGUCGGCACCA